AGUUGUCAGUGAAAGCGGGUGAAGACAUGUUAAAAAGAGCUCUUCGGCCAUGGGACUCUGGAAUUGUAUUUUGUGACGUCUGUGAAGAAGCCCAACGCCACCUCGUCAAAUCUGCGAUGCCGCACGAUUGCAAGUACAAGGCAACUUCAGCUCGACUUGUUCUCAAACAUCGACGCCUUGUGAACUUUCUCCGCAGGGGGCACGAUAAAUCCCCGAGUCUGCAAAUGAGGAGAUUUAGACUGGGCGAUUAGCUAAAGGUGUCACUUCACAACUGAGCCAAGGGAAGUCUAAUGUUCAACCCCUUUCUCAACCAAGACGUCUUAUGUUCUGGAAUGUGAUGUCCCUGGAGAUGCAACAAACAAGUUGUACUGGAGUCCAACUCUUACCAUUCCAGUGAUGGAAGUGUUAUCAACCUCAUGAUUCUGCUCCCCUGUAGCUUGAAGCCUUGACAAUCCAGCUCAACCUCAACACAAUCCCAUGUACAGAUGCAGUAUCCAGCAGUAUUCCUCCUUCAACCACCACAGCUCUGCUAUCCCCUGUCUCUACUACCAACCUCCUUCCUUCUUCUGGUUGGCCUACAUUUGAUACAGAAAUGCCUCCAUAUCCUGCAGACUCAGCUCUUGUGGAGGAGGAGGGUGAGGAGUAACAUCAGGUCUUUACCAGAGGACAGUCUUUCUUCCUAAUUGACUUGAUGCAUGAGCAUCAGAUCUGAGUGAUGCAGACCUGCCAAAAUCUUUGGUCGUUUUGGGAGCUAGAGUGUGAAUGGCACGUGGCUGAAAGGUUCUUUUAAGAUGGAAAUGGCACAGAAGCUAAUUGAAUGGUUCCAUUUGCAGUUGGUGCAGGCAAAAGUUGCAAGAAAGUGGGCAACCCUGGAGGAUGCUUUAGAAAAAAAAGGCAGAGGUGUCAUAAAGUUUGAAUUCUGCUCCUGAUUGGAGGAAAACAUGUUAGCUUUCCAGUCAGGUCCUACAAGGUGUGUGGAAAUAAAAAAAAUGGAGGCACUUGUAAGGGAUACCUCAAGGCCCAGUUCUCCUUGGCUGAAUGAGCUGUCCCCACAUUAUUCCUCAAUCACUGCCAGCAGGUCACCUCCAGAACCUUCAGCUUCCUCUGGAUCCUCAGGUGCAUCCGUCAUCAGUCCCGCAGGUUGUCACAUGAUCAAGUUCUUGAGUUCCUAAGGGAAUCUAAGGAAGUUACCCCAAGGUGAUAUGCAAUCAUGCAACAAAUGAUUGCAUCACAGAUGUCUUUUGAGAGCCUAAUAUGUGGUUUUCUGGAUAAACAGUAAGGCCUACUCCUGCAUGUGUUUAUAAAAGUGUUUUUGAGCUGUGUGCCAAACACUGUUACUAAUGUACUUUUAAAAAUGCUUGAUAUUUUGUGGGUGGUUCUGUUUGCAUUUGGAGCUAUGUUUGGCACACACUGGUAAUAUGUACCAGUAUAAAUAAGCAGUGGUAAUGUUCAAAUUAUUUGGUAACCUUUAAGGUUGUUUUUAUUGUUAUUGUUCUGUAGGGUCCCUUUUUUCCCCAUCCAAAGUUUAUUCAUUUAUGUAAAUCUGUUUUUUGUUUUUACAUUUGUAUUACUUAUGUAUCUUUAAAAAUACUGGUCCAAUCCACUUAUUUAAAAUGUUUUGGUUUUUUUUCUAUGUCAAGUAAGAGACCUGUGUCUAUUUUAAGAACAUUGGUCAUUCAUAAACUUUAGUUAUAACUGUUUACUUGUCCUUCUGUUUAUAUAGACACAUACACGGCACUUACUCUAGAACAUUGUGGUCUGAUCCUUGUUUAUCAACUUUUUUGUAAUCUAGGGACAUGUUGGUUUAAUGUAAGAAAAGCUUCUAUAAACAGUCUCUCUUUCUGUUCAUUAUUACAUUACAGCAUUAUCUAGUAUAUGGUUCCCUAGUACAAAGUUUUUGACCUAACUAUAUACCUUUUGAGGUAAGUCAGGCAGAUACACACAUCAGCUGUAUAGACUAUUAAAUAAAUCAUACAAAAAUGUCUUCUCUCAGCAUGUAGCCUAUACAGUAUUAUGGUGUGUAAAUCUAGGUCUCCCAUAUAAUCAAAAGUCAUCCUUGAGUCUAGGAUAUUCUUGACAUAUAUUUGUCAGGCCUACACCAAUGCUCAUGUUGUGUAGUGUACAUGCUUCCACAGUAAUUUUGACCGAAACAUCCAGACGUGAGAUCGUGGAGUCUUCUCCACAUGCAUUUCUUUCUCCCAAGCGCCUGUUCCACCACAAAUCUCCCAUAGCUUAUGUUGGCAUUUAUCUGCAGGUUGUCUUCACUUGGUGCACCAUUAUCACACUUUGGGGUAAUGAUAAAAGAGUAGUCAUUAGAGAUGUAUGCAGUAUCUGCCAAAAGGUAAUGUAUCCCCAUCAAUUACUGCCAGUUCUCAAAAAAGGUUGAGGCCCUUAACAUUUGUGCAUUGUGCACUUUGCCUGGCACACUAAAAAUGUAUAAGAUGCAACCCUGGUCAUUUACAGUGCCCUGUAAAAGAACUGAAUAGAAGCAUUUCCUGUAGAGGAGGUAAUCCACUCCUCUAUCUAAAAACCUCUGGAUUUUGAUAUGGCACCUAUCAAUGGCAGCAAUGAUGUCACUAAUACUAUAGAAAGGUUGAAACAUGGCUAAACUAAUUCUCUUAUCACAUUGAGUGGGCCAUUUAAUGUAAACUUUUGCCAGCAAACAGGUCUGAUCCAAAACCCCCAGCACAAUAUUAUGAGCCGUUCUUGGGACACAAUAAAUUUAUUUGAAAUUUCUUGAAAAUAAUUUUGAUCUUCCAUAUACCACAGGAAUAUGAUGGCCUUCUUAACCAUGGGAGCUUGUGCUCCGGGAUGAUGGUCAUCUGUUAGCCCAAGAUUUUUAAUUUCAUCAACAGACUGUUCACUAGAGUGCCGCAUAUGGCUUUGAAAGGUGAGGGUGUCCAUACUCAGCAGUAGUAUCCCUUCUGAACCAGUCUACAGAACUUACAGAAUGCUGUUUGUGUAAUAUUGUAGAAUGACAUCUGAGAAGCACAUAUUUACACACACGCACACAGACAGUUGCGUCCAUUGUAAUUUCAAUAAUUGUAGACAGUUUGCUGUUAUUAAGCAGAAGCACAGACACUUGCAGGUUAAUGAUGUUUUUAAAUUGAUUCAGCAAUUAGGAAAUACGUAAUGUUAUUUUAUGCGAUUCAGUGACUUUACAGGAUAAAAACAUUACUCACCUAAUGCAUGUCCUAUUUGCUUCAUUUUCUUUCAGUAAGGCCAAAUAAACAUCCUGUUUUUAAUUAUACAAAAAAACAAAAGUAGUUUUCUGUUGGCGCCAUUUUCCCCUGACAACCAAAAACCAUACAUGUCAUAACCUCCAGACUAUUAAGUAGGAAUUUCCCGAGGAGGACUUGAAGACAGCAUAAAACUCAGCACCUUUAUGAUGUUGGCUCUUUCUUUUUCUCUUAAUGUGAAUGGUUUUAUUUUAUCCCUAAAGUUAGCUGAUUGAUUUUAAUGUGGGGAAUAAAACUGUAUUCUAUUUAAAUGACCACUGCUCCUAUAUUGACUAACUGAAACUAGUACUUAUUGUACUGUAUUGUUUAUUACACUGAUGUUGUCUAAUAAACUCUAGUACUUAUUAUUUCACUUAUCAUUGUCUAAGAUAGACCUUAGACAAUGGCCAGAAGCACCAUUAUAUUUGUUGUAUGCAGUUACUGAAAAGCCAUUGUUUGCUUCAAAGAAAUCUGAUGCCAUGUUUGUGUGCAAUGGUGCUGCUGCCUGCAGGAAAUGGAUAAUGUCCUCUGUGUGUAAGCACUACUCCAUCUUUGCACCCUCAGAUCUGCUGCUCGAGCUGCUUCAGGACUCUUUCCUCUCAACUCACAGUGCCAUACUCCUGCACUCGGAUCAGCUGUGUCACCUCGGAGCUCUUGCUCUCAACAAAGCUGAUCAGAUCUUUGGACACUGCCUCACACUGGUUCACAGCUGCCUGUGUGGAUCGCUGUUAAAUGAUAGAGACCAGCUAGGAGAUCUGCAGUCAAGCUGCUGAGUUGAAAAUCUCAUUUUAAUCCCAUGUUGUACCCAUUUUACUUGUCAACACCUUUUGUGAUUGCUUUGACUGGGGAACUUCCUGGACUUUUGAGGUGGGCUUCCCGGGUCACAGUUCACACUGUGGGACGGCACAGCCUCCUUAAGAUCAUCAGCCUACGUUUCUCCCUCGUGGCUCAUCCAGUGGAAUUUCCUGUGUGCUUCUACCAGGUGCUUCUGUAGAGCCAACAAAGAUGAGACAGUGAGACAUCUGGUUAAAGUCAAUAUAGAUAAGUUCAUAGGUAAUUGGACAGGACCACUUUAUUUGGGUCUAUACUCUAGAAUAUUGAGUUUAAAAUUAAAAUGUAGACUGUCAGCUUUAAUUUCAGUGUAGUCAGGGGUGUCACUAGAAAUAUACAAAGGGGGGCUAAGCCCCCCAGGAGAAUUGCCAUAAUGAAAAAGAACCGUCCAUUAACACCUGCUCUAAAUGCUUCAUUGUUUAAUGCAAAAGUUAUUUUUCAGUUUGCGUUACAUUAACAUUUGUUGAUCAAUCAUCAGGGUUCUUCUGUCAAUUCCAUUAUUAAAUUGAAACAGACAGUCCUGUGGUUAAAGUACUUGACUUAUAAUCAGAAGGUUGCUGGUUCAAGCCCCACU